rnacentral:rRNA from 1 species
UGGGGAAUAUUGCACAAUGGGCGCAAGCCUGAUGCAGCCAUGCCGCGUGUAUGAAGAAGGCCUUCGGGUUGUAAAGUACUUUCAGCGGGGAGGAAGGCGAUAAGGUUAAUAACCUUGUCGAUUGACGUUACCCGCAGAAGAAGCACCGGCUAACUCCGUGCCAGCAGCCGCGGUAAUACGGAGGGUGCAAGCGUUAAUCGGAAUUACUGGGCGUAAAGCGCACGCAGGCGGUCUGUCAAGUCGGAUGUGAAAUCCCCGGGCUCAACCUGGGAACUGCAUUCGAAACUGGCAGGCUAGAGUCUUGUAGAGGGGGGUAGAAUUCCAGGUGUAGCGGUGAAAUGCGUAGAGAUCUGGAGGAAUACCGGUGGCGACGGCGGCCCCCUGGACAAAGACUGACGCUCAGGUGCGAAAGCGUGGGGAGCAAACA